UCAAUUAACAAAAUGCAACUACGAUUACAUGGGAAAUAAGGCAAGAAUAUAUUGUCGCCAGAAACAGAAGAAAUAUAAUUAAACAUAAAUAGGAUGGAAGUACCGAUCCUCCAGAGGGACAUAAGGUAGCCAGGCCAUCUUCAUUGCCUUCAUAGGUACUAUUUCUUCAUUCUCCCUUUGGACAGAAUUUAUACCAAUUUUAUCUGAUGGAGGGAAUGGACAGUCAACCUGCAUAAAAGAAGAAGAAAAGACGAGAGAUUAUAAAAUCCACCAGAAUGGCAAAGUUAGCAAGUAUAUGAGUGAAACAUAAAACAGACACAUGAGAAACCAGGCCAAACAGUGAUAAACGAUAUACUAGGAAAAGAAAUACUUAAGACAGGCAUAAAAAAGGCCAACGGUACUAAAUGUCCUUAAAAGAACCCAGACCAGUGAAUAUUUUAGACUUGCAGUAUCAAAGUCACCUUAGUAACAUCAACCAUCAUGGUUAAUGGAGCUCCCAACCAUUUGUGCAUAGAUUUCUUACUUGUAACUGUUAAUCAUUAAAAAAACAUAUGCAUUACCUAUCCUGCACAGUUGACCACUUUUAACUUGAAGUACAACUAGGCUAGGGUCAUUAUAAAUAACAAAGUACAAAUUUUCCGUCAUGUAUUAAUAUAACAUGGCUGACACAAACAUGAGAAAAACAUGAAACUAAAGAUGAUGUGUAACUGGGAAAGAAUUUAUGUGUUUGCAUUUUCUAUCAAUAUAAUCCAGAACUUAAAAUGGGAUAAACAACACGGACUUACAGCAACUACAAUAGGAAUAAGCACUAUCUUCGAUUCACCAUUAACAUCCAAUAGCUGAGCUGCAUACCAACAGAAAUAAGCCCAUUAGACUGAUUAUAUAAAUAUUGUGAAGCUACUGGGAUGCACAGCGAAUAUUUCAGCAUUAAUAAACCAUUGAACAGUAGCUCUACAACAUGGUUACUGAAUUUCACUUUCAACUAUUAUUCUGAUAUUUGAACUUCACAGCAAAUAUGUAUUCCUAGAUGACCGUUUAAAAAGCUUUUUAUCAAACACACGUACAAAUGCAGAUCAUUUUGUAUUAAAGGAAAAAUGGCACAAAGAAAAUCCAAUAAAGAAAAAGCAAAAAUAAAUGUGAAGAGAAGAAAACAACAAAGAAUCUGAGUAUAAUGGCUAAGCCUGCCAACACAACUGCCGCUGCCCCUGCUGCAACUGAUAACACCAGUUUACUGCACAGCGCUAAAAUAUUGCCAAGCUAAUAUGCGUCAAGAGACUGGAAGUAUAACUAGAAAGGUAGCACAAGAGUAAGCAUACUUACGCUCAGUGCUUCCAAAUAAGUAAACCGUCUUCCCAUAAAGCUUCCCACCUUCUUCUAGAGCUUUCUGUUCACAAACAAUAAACCAUGUACCACAAUGUAAGAAAACCUAAUAUUAAAAGGAAGACUGAAGAAUAUGUGUCCAUCAUACCUCUAAAUUUUCAAAGUUCCAGUUGAACUCCUUUAUCUUAUCAAUAUUUUCCCACUGCAAAUGACAGGACCAGAAAGAGAUAUACAUUAGAAGUAAGGCCAAAUGCAAAACAAAUUUUGCGUGCAUGUGGAAGUGUCACUCCAGACGCAAUAAAGAAUCAAAGAAAAAAUCAAGGACAGAAAUGCACACGAACCUCAGUCCCAAUAGGAAAUGCCGACAACCAAAGAUCCUCCUGAAAAAAGCAAUAGACAGUUAGGCCAGAAGCGACAAAAGCAAUAUAGCAAAAUCAUAAACAAGGGCACAAGGUGUAUCCUGUUUCAAGUGAAGCAUCUAACGAACUCAGUCAAACAAGCCAAAUCAUAACACAGCUACUAAAAAUGGCCACCCCAGUAAACAAAUGAAAUGUGUAGAGAGUUGCAGUAAAAAAUAAUCUGCCUAUCAUUGACCGAACAGAAAUUUGUUUUGUAAAAUCUGUAAACCUUACAUUGCACCUGUGUCAAAACAUGUGUAGAAAACAUCAUUAUGAUCAUAGCUUACACUUUAGCCUACAUUAGGGACACAGAAACAUUCCCUGUUAACAGUCAUAUCUGAUACAUGGAAAGACUUCAGAAUACAUCAGUUACUACCAUUGCAGUGGACAAACUUCAGCACGAUGCACAUGGAGAAUUAAAAACCACCAGUGGCAAAUGCACCAAAUCAACAGCACGCAUUCCAGGAGAUAAACACUCUCCAGUGAAAUGAACAAAUCCUAUACUCCAACCAAAUCUAGCAACAAAACAACCGCAGUGCAAUCUCACGUUUCAGUACCGCACACAACAACAAAAACAUUUGGAUCGCCAACGCAUCUCCUAAUCAAAACACUGCAAAGCUCUGCAGCAAAGAGCAGCACCAAGACCAAUAACGCCCAAUCCUACUCGGCUACACGAAUACCUAGCAAGCCGAAGCACGCAUCACGAGUGGCAGGCAGGCAAGCGAAUAACACGGGGAAGCAUCCUCACCAGAUUGCGCUGCUCGGGGAAGUACUCCGCCUCGGGCUUGGGCGGCUUGGGCUCCGUGUCGGCACUCUUCUUCGGCCGACCCCGCGCGGCCGGCGGCUUGGGCUCCGUCUUGGCACUCUUCCUCGGCCGGCCCCGCACGGCCGGCGCCUUCGCCUCCGCCUCCGCCGGGGGGUCCUCUGCCGCGCGCUUCUUGCCCUUGGGACGCGCCAUAUCCUCGCUCUCUCGCUGUCUGGAUUGCUGCUAGGGUUAGGGUUUCGGUACGCUCGGUCCGAUUGGGGAUUGAGAUCUCUUUUGGGGAUUUGUAUUUAUGCGUUGGUGGCAGAGGGGGGAUGAGUUUCGAUUUGGGGGAAGCGGCGCGUGAAAUGGACGCGACGCAAAUUUGAAGCGGGGAGCCGACGGGGAGAAGAGGAGAGACGGCGGCGGGGGGAGCGUGGCCUGGGGUGUCCGAUGGGCUUCGGGAUCCGUCGGAUCGGAGGGGGGCGGUCCUGGGCCGUCAGAUCGGAUGCGGGCGCGGGGAUCCAGAGAGUGCGAGGAGGUUUCUGUUCGAUGUCUGCGUGGAGUGCGCUGUCGGUUUGGGGCGGCCGGAUUCAAACCUGGUGAGAGUGACGGGUUGGGCCGACAUGGCAAAAGUCUUUGGUGCCGUUGUCAUUCGGCCCAUGUUCUUUUUUGACAGACAUUCGGCCCAUGGUUUUUAGACCACGGGUUGGGACGCAUGGGGCUUGGCUGGAAUUGGUCACUCCGGCCCUCCCUUUAUGUUACUGAUUUUUUUUCUCUGACAGUAAAUCAGUAAUACUAAGUUUGCAUUUCAACAAAAAACAAAGUGAGCUAAAUACACCCGCAGUCUUAUUUUUAUUUUCGCGGUAUCAGUUUAGUCCUAAAACUAUGAAACUGAACCAUUUAGUCCUGAUUUUAUUAUAAGUGGUGUACACGUCGGCUCAGGGGUGUUUGGUUGGAGUCUUGCCGUCGCGGCGGAUGGAAAUUUUUACACGAAACCUUCUAUAAAAACGUGGCCAUCUUCCUCUAUCUGUUUCCUCGUCCUCUCUAUUUUCUGUUUGAGCUCUCCGUUUCCUCGUCCUCUCUUCUCAAUCGCCGCCGCCGCUGCCGCAAUGACAACGAGGUCGAUGGCCAGCGCCUCCACGUCAGGGAAAAGAAAGAAGGCGGAUUCAGCCAAACGCAAAAACUCCUGCCAAACGCCCCUCAUCCGACGAGCUACAGUUCUUCUUUUUAUGCAUGCAACAUCUUAACCGAAGUCCCUUUCUUGCAGCGAGUGAAGAGGAGUUUGCUGCUUGAGUGACUCUCCAUGGACUUUGAGCUUGAGUGAUUCUACGUGGCAAAGUCUGUCUAGGCCCACAUUUCGCCAGCCAAAGCAUACACUGGUUGCCCGAUUCAUCAUUUAAUGCCUCAUCUCGAAAGACCUUUUUGUUGGGGAUUUUAUUGUUAAACCACCGCGAUCGAGCUUCUCUCGCUGGUUCGGUGCCGCAUUCCAUCGAGCCGAUGGUGGGUGGCUGCAGGCAGCGGAGCGAUCGAGCCGAGUCGAGUCUAUGCGCGGUGUGAGUGCUUGCUUACCGGAGGAGGGCCGCGCUCUCCUUUGCGUUGGAUGGACCGUGCGUGCUCCGGCGAGAUGCACGGGGGAGAGGAGUGCAAGGGCGGCUGCCGUGCAGCAGGGCCCCGCGGCGUAGAUCGCUACUCCCGGUCAGCGCCGCCUCGCGCUGCUGCUGCUGCUAGCGGUGCCGUCGAGGAAUCCGGGGGAGGAAAAGAAAGCUGCAGCAGAUUCCGACUGAUUCCCCGGAACUGGAUGGGACGGUGACGUGGUAAAAAAGAGUGGACGCCACGCAACGGCGUGUCUCUGCUGCAUGUGGCAGGUUGCCUCCAGACAGCAUGCCGAUGACGACAUGCCUGCCACCAGACUUGACUUGUUAUGCCGACCUGUCAAAGACUCGCUGACUCGUAGUGGAACGAGCGGUGCGCUCCUCUUUCUCCAGUUCUCCUGCCGUAUCUUUGCUCUGUAUUGCCAGGAGUAAUAAGGUGUGUGUAAGACAGAAGUCUCAACAACGAUGAUGGACUAACAACUGAACUGUGCAGAUUUCUAAAGAAAUAUUUGUGUUCGGUUAUUGUCUACAGUUUAUUAAAUCCAAAUUAACAAACCACAAUGACCAACUGACGUUAAGUAAAGCAAACAAAAUUGCCCCAGAAACAGUCGCCCUUCGCCUGGCGUUGUUCUCUCGAAAGAGAAUAUACACGGCCGCCUUGAGGCCAAUGCUGAACAGUCCAAUAUCCUGCGACAGGUUGGUCACGGCCUCACGACUUCGCCUUCAAAGUUGAAGCAAGUCACAGCACAAAUGUACGCAUUUGACAGAAUGCUUGAACAUCAAAAAUCUUAUAGGCACCGGAUCUGUUCAUGUAGCGAGGUUACAUGUAACAAAGUCAGACCACAAGAUUGAGCACAACAAAUGUGUUGCAACCUGUAUUAUUUGGCUGCACAGACAACCAAACAGGUUAUGAAGGGUAACAAGAAUGAUGAGUUGCAGCAAAAGAUUCAAGGACUGCACGCCCAAGGUUUACUUAUGAUUAUUAGGGAAUAAAUUGUCCCCAAACACUUGUUCAGCUUUUGCAAGAUCUACCUUCUGACGGUUACAACUAUCUCCCAGAAUGUUACAAAAUCACAGUACAAAGAGAAUAACCAAGGGAACCUGCAACAGAGUUCAGAUGCAACGGGUUAUCUGAUAGGACAACAAAGAGAGCCCAGCUGAAUAUGCCAACCAGCAGGUCUCCCUCGCCUGACAAAAAUUUCAAUGCCAUUUCUUCAAGUUGGAUAGCUUAGUGUAUGAUAUUACUCACACGAAAUGCGAUGUUUGACAUCACAGCAGUUCAUGUGCAUGGCCGUAAUAUCUAUUGAUGUACUUCGCCUGAAGAACAAUGUAUACAAAGUUAAAUCCAAAGCAUCUUCAAACAGUCCUUUCAAAGAAAUAGUGAGCAACCCUCCUGCUUACCUUGACGUUGCUUACAUCAGGAGUGUCAUCGGUUUUUACAGGAUAAAAUUUGUAAAAUCGGAUAUUUGCAUAUGCCUCUUUCAACUUAGGAUCCAGAUCAUCAAUAGCUUUCUUUCUGGCAUCUUUAGCCUGCAUAAGUUUCGGAAAACAGAGUAUUACAUUUACAUCAAAAUCUUUGGUGAAUGUAAUAACAUUUUGGUUCAUCGCAAACCUGUUUCAGCUCUCUCUUCCUCUCUCUAACCGUCUCCUUAAUGAAGUCCUGUCAAUGAAAUGUGGCUGCAAUUUAGGAAGGACUUUAACGACUUAACGACCUUACGCUAUGCUAAAUAUAUUUUUUACAACCUUCAAACGCAAAAUCUAUUGAAUAUGCAGGCACCUUAAAUUUUUCUUUCUCCUCUUCUGGUAAGACCUCAUCUUUAACUUUCUCAUCAAUAAAAUCCUGCAAUGCGAUACAAUGAUUCACAACACAGAUGCCCUUCCAUGAAUAGGAUUGGAAAGAACCAAAACAAAGUCCAUCCGUACCUUCAUAUCAUCAAUUUCCCAGUCAAACUCGCAUACUAUCUGCAAAAUGAACAGCAAAAGGUAAAUACAGUGAUUUGGAGCAACACUUAAACAGGAUUAGAAAUAAAAGCUGAAAAGUCAACAAGUCAAGGAUUUAUGUACACUUGGAGUAGUUUCCACAUUGCAUUGCAUUAGCUAAAAAGGGAUAAUGGGAUGAGCAGUCUGUUCAGAGAAAUCAAAAAGGUUACAAUAGUGUCACAUAUGCACUGAUAGCAUGAAGAAUUUCUUUGGAGGGGGGCAGGGCCCAUUCUGGCCCCUGAUCCCAACCUGUGCCUAGAUUCAGUCAACACAACUUGAUUACAGAGACUGCGUGAUGUACACACAUUGUUUUAUUUAGAAACUUCUAUCAGUAAUUAUGACUCCUUGAGUAAUAAUGAACGGCCUAUUUUAAGAAGAAAAGAGAAAUGGCAUUCAUUCAUGACAUGAUUACAUGUGAAUUACUUCAAACAUGGUGUCAUAGACCUAGUGAAAGAAGCUUACCGGGGGUUCUAGAGGAUAAAUGAAAUUGACAACUGUAUCAUCUUUUUCUUCAGGAGGAGUAAGUGGCAUAUAAUCUGCAACAUUAUGGAAAGACGAUUAAGUGUUCCUGCCCCUUUCCUCAGGAAAAAUAUCAUUGCAAGAGGUUUAUGAGCACAUAAACGUUCUAAUCAACCAGCGGUACAACGUAAUGAUGUGUGGGGGGAUUCGAAAGCCAGGGUUUGGUGGGUCUGUUGGGGUUUUGUGUGAUCAAUGCCCUUGGCAUGCUUGCACACUAUCAGUGAUCACAUUACUCUCUGCUAGUUUCACGAUUGCCGCUCUUUAACACCAUAAAAGACCAACCCAAUACACCGUUGAAAAAAAGGCUUGGAUGUUGGCUAUUAAAUAUGCGCAUCAACAUUCACUAUUUUAUAAGGCAGCUGGCGCUAGGAUGCACCCUCCCUCGUUCCCGGCCAGGCCCACACCGAGCCUGUCUAGGCUAUAGACGCCGUAUCAUCUCGUACCGGACACUUCCUGGAACACUGAUGCCAUUUUUGUUCUAGAAAUUAAAUGCAGUCGUCCAGCAAAAGAAAACCAGCAAACUAAUCCAUCAGUGUACCAUCAUUACAGUUGUCUAGCGUCAUGUGACUUCACUGCGAUCCCAAUGAAGUAAAUAAUAAUUAGCAAAAUGUGUGACAUUCCAUGACAAAUACUGCUGCAUUGCAAACCAUUAAACUAAGAUGUGUAGUCACAUUCCUGACGAGUAUUAUGCACAGAUUUGAACAGUGUAGUUUACAUAUUCUUGGACUGGACCAAACAAAUACAUGUACAGUAAUGGUACCACAGAAUCCGUAAGCAACAAUAGAUAUUUCUGCAUACACAGAAGACAAGCCUAUGAAAAACAAUCCCAAUUCAGCUUACAGGGCAUGCAGAGUAGUCAAAAUUCCUGACUCGCUCAGUUUUGAGAUGCUUGAGCGCACACCUGUCAUAAAUAUAAACUUAGGAUGCUGUGGCAAGUCUUGGAAAAAACAUAGAGGUUCAACAUGGGUGGAAAACCAUGUUACUGUGUGACCAUGUUCCCCCAAAAAUAUAAAUAAUUAAAAGCAACAAAAUAGUGCUGAAGCAUGGAUCCUUAUUGAGGUAUUAAAAUAGCAGAAAUAAUACUGACCUUCGCUGAGUGCAGCCAAGAGUAAAUAUUUUUGUUUUUAAACUGUCACAUCUGCUGAGCCUGUAGACAAACCAGGAGUUAAUUAAACAAAAUGCAAAACUACGAUCACAUGCUAAAUAAGGUAAGGAUUAAUAGUUGCCAGAAACAGAAUAAAUAUAAUUAAACAUAAAUAGGAUGGAAGUACCGAUCCUCCAGAGGGACAUAGGGCAGCCAGGCCAUCUUCAUUGCCUUCAUAGGUACUAUUUCUUCAUUCUCCCUUUGGACAGAUUUUAUACCAAUUUUAUCUGACGGAGGGAAUGGACAGUCAACCUGCAUAAAAGAAGAAGAAAAGACGAGAGAUUAUAAAAUCCACCAGAAUAGCAAAGUUGGCAGGUAUAUGAUUGAAACAUAAAACACACAGGAGAAAC
rnacentral:lncRNA from 1 species